GCCGGGGUGGCGGAAUUGGUAGACGCAGCGGACUUAAAAUCCGCCUCCGUUCACGGAGUACCGGUUCAAGUCCGGUCCUCGGCA
rnacentral:tRNA from 1 species